UAUAAUAUGAAAAUCACUCGCGAUUUUGGUGUUAUUCACAAGAAGAUGAACUUUAAUAUACCGGUGGAAACUCUCGGUAGAUCUGCUAGCAGAGCUUGAGGUUCUUUGAACUGGCUACCUGCAUUCUAAGCUAUAUCGAACAUUUUCUGCUAUCAUAAUUGUAUUACCCUACUUAUCGUAGGGCAUGAAAAAUAAGUCUAUAGACUCGUUCAUGUUCCUCUCCACGGAAAUCUUUAGUAAAAGGCGAAAGAUUUAAUCGUGGAUUGAAGAGAAACCAGAGUAUUAUUAUUACGUUUCAAAGAGAGCUUACAUAAUCAUUCUUUCUUACUUAGCAUAGGUUUUAAGGUAAAUCCUGUAAUCAUUAUCAAGUCUUUCAAUAAGUUAUAAAUCAAUCGUAUUUUUCUUUUAAAUUGAGAUUAAUUGUAAUAUAAUGGAAAUAAUGGUUUAAAUCAUUUAUAAUCAAAUGUUUAUUCUAAUUUAAUCCACAUCACAAAAUAUUGUUUUAAAAAACUACAAAGGGAGACAACUUCCUAGAGUGUACAAUUUUAUAGAUUUCUUUUAUUAUACAUGUCUAUGUACAUGUACAUAUGAUUGGGAUCAAAGGAUUUUGAGUUAUCGGAAUGGUUUCUUUGAUUUAAAAAUACAUUGGAUUUAUAUUUAGUAUGUGGAUGUUGUUAGUAAUCCCAUACACAGGAGGUGGAGGGUCGCUUUAAAUAAAGUCUCUCAUGCGGGUCUUUUUGUCCUUUCUCCAAGGAAAUACACUAUAUCAUACUGCUAAAGGAAAUGUUCAUCACGGUCAUUACUAGAAAUUGAUUAAAUUUUUAUAUCCUAUGUCAUUAUUUUAUUUCUGUUUUAUUUGAAUCAAAAUUGUUUCCCCUUUGUGGUUUUCAAUUUUAAAUAACAAAUUUAAGGUGGAUCGAUCCUCAUAUGACUUAUCAAUACACGUAUCAACACUUCGCCGCAAGUUACGUCCCUUUGCGGGGUCAGCCAAAGGUCAAUCGGUGAAAAACCCAGUUUUCCUUCUUUACCUUACCAAAUGUAAGAUGUUAUUACUUUGAAUUUUAGCCAAUUACCAAGUUUUCAUACAAGUUAAUGGGUUGCCCCAAUCUGGGGCAUAUUGUAGUUGACUGCAAUUGAUGGAAAAAUAACAGAUGUCAAAGCUACAGAUAGGAAAAUUACAAAGGCCAACGUAGGGAAAUACGAUUUUUAUCCGGAAGAUGGUGGACAAGGGACGUAACUUUCGCGAAGUGUUGAUACGUGUAUAUUAAUGGUUAAAAGUGGAAAAACUGUAUUAAUUUCCACUCAAUAUAGUUUAAUUCAAUCAAUAACCAAAGAAAAUGUGUACGUUGCCACCUUUUUAAAGAUGUCAGACAUACAAAAACAGAAGUAUAUACAUGUAUCAACAUAAAAAAAUCACACAUUUUCGUUAAACAGAAUAAUGAAAAUUAAUAAUAUAAAAAAAAAACCUUGCUGAAAUGACACAUUUCAAAUGUCAACAGUUUAAGAAAACUGCUAAUCCAUAGAUAUAUGAAAAUUAAUUGUGGAUAUUAGGGAAAUCAUUGUGUCAUAGACAUUCAGUAGAGGAAAUUCCAGCAUAGGAGUUAUUGCCCUUGACAACAUUUUUAAAAUUAUAAAUCAUCGAUUAUCUGUGGAAAAUAAAACCUUUUUCAGUAUUAAAAGUUUACCAAAUUUUUUAUUUUAUUCAGUAAAUGAAAAUCCUCUGAAAGAUAUAUUUCUAUCAUGCCCACAAUUUAAUUUAAUAAAGAUUUUGCAAAAACCUAUGCCAUCACAAGAGGAUCGAUCGACCUUAAUUCACGACCGUAAGUUAACUUUUGCUACUUUCAUUAACCUUGAAAAAUCUUUUGAUUUCGUCAUUAGAGAUUUACAACAUUAUAAACUGCAACUAAAUGGAAUGAAUGGUAUAAUAUAUAACGUUAUUUGUAGCUUAUAUUCAAAAUCAUUUUAACGGUCUUCGUACAAAUUGGUUUCAAUGCUCAAAUGGCGUAAGUCAAGAUGAAAACUUAUCACUCUCGCUGUUUUGUCUUUUUAUCAACAACCGUGCGACACAAAUUUCACAGCUAAUUAUGGAGUAAAUAUUGAAGAUGAAAAGUGAACAUUUUAUCUUUAACCAACGAUAUUGUUUAUCUCAGCGAAAAUGAGACUGAUAUGCCAAAUGUCCUUGAUAUUCUUUCAAGUUGGUGUAAACCAGUGGCGGGUUUAAUGGGGGGCGCAGUCUCUCCCCCCCCCCCCCUUAAAAUUUUAAAAUUUAAGGUAAAUCACGGUAUCUUGUUUCGGAAAAUGUACUAAACGAUAAAAGAAGCAAUAAUUUCUACCACUCCCGGAGAAAUAAAUGACAAAAUCCUUUGAUUUCUUGAAUUACUUCAUUGGGAGAACCUAAUUGUUUCCAAAUAACCCUUAAAAUUUGGGUCAUUGUAUUAAUUUCACCUUAUUGAAAGGAUAGAGAAUAGUACAAAUGUCUUCAUAGGAGAAAUAUUUCAAGCCCCAUAAAAUCUGUAAAAUCCAUGAGCUUCCGGGAGCUUCGCCCCCUGGACCACGCCCAGGGCUUCACCCUGGACCCGCUGUCUCAUAAAGUGGCGCCCCCCGUUACCACAAUUCCAGGAUCCGCCCCUUGAAAACGGUGAAGAUUAAAUGUGAACUGCUAAAUCGAACAUAAUGCAUUUCAGGAAACACAACAUCCCUGAAAGAAAAUUUCAAUUCAAUAAUUGGAGAAGAGGUACAAUAUGAAAAUCACUCGCUAUUUCGGUGAUUUUCACGAGAAGAUGAACUUUAAUAUACCGGUGAAACUCUCGCUAAAUCUGCUAGCAGAGCUUGAGGUUCUUUGAACUGCCUACCUACAUUCCAAACUAUAUCGAACAUUGUCUGCUAUCAUAAUUGUAUUACCCUAUUUAUCGUAGGGCAUCAAAAAUAAGUCUAUAGACUCGUUCAUGUUCCUCUCCACGGAAAUCUUUAGUAAAAGGCGAAAGAUUUAAUCGUGGAUUGAAGAGAAACCAGAGUAUUAUUAUUACGUUUCAAAGAGAGCUUACAUGAUCACUUUUUCUUACUUAGCAUAGGUUUUAAGGUAAAUCCUGUAAUCAUUAUCAAGUUUUUCAAUAAGUUAUAAAUCAAUCGUAUUUUUCUUUCAAAUUGAGAUCAAUUGUAAUAUAAUGGAAAUAAUGGUUUAAAUCAUUUAUAAUCAAAUGUUUAAUCUAAUUUAAUCCACAUCACAAAAUAUUGGUUUAAAAAAAUUACAAAGGGAGACGACUUCCUAAAUUGUACAAUUUGAUAGAUUAGUUUUAUUAUAUAAUUUUCCACCUAGCUGGUCGGUCAGUUAUUUUUUUUUUUUUUACACCUGGCCGAUCUUGAUCACCCAUGUGGCCAAAUUUUCUCGUCUUCAGAAAGUGGUCAUACCUUAAGGGCAAUUUACACAUGUUUUACUACAAUAUAAACUGCCACCAAAUGGAAUCACUUGCAUAAUAUAUAACGCUAUUUGUAGCUUAUCUUCAGAAUCAUUUCCCUGUGUCUACAUCAACGCUCUUAGUACGAAUUGGUUUCAAUGCUCAAAUGGCGAAACACAGCAUCCCUGGAAGAAAAUUUCAAUUCAAUAAUUGGAGAAGAGGUACAAUAUGAAAAUCACUCGUUAUUUCGGUGUUACUCACGAGAAGAUGAACUUUAAUAUACCGGUGGAAACUCUCGCUAAAUCUGCUAGCAGAGAUUGAGGUUCUUUGAACUGGCUACCUGCAUUCCAAGCUGUAUCGAACAUUUUCUGCUAUAAUAAUGGUAUUACCCUACUUAUCGUACGGCAUCAAAAAUAAGUCUAUAGACUCGUUCAUGAUCCUCUCCACGGAAAUCUUUAGUAAAAGGCGAAAGAUUUAAUCGUGGAUUGAAGAGAAACCAGAGUAUUAUCAUUACGUUUCAAAGAGAGCUUACAUGAUCACUCUUUCUUACUUAGCAUAGGUUUUAAGGUAAAUCCUGUAAUCAUUAUCAAGUCUUUCAAUAAGUUAUAAAUCAAUCGUAUUUUUCUUUUAAAUUGAGAUUAAUUGUAAUAUAAUGGAAAUAAUGGUUUAAAUCAUUUAUAAUCAAACGUUUAUUCUAAUUUAAUCCACAUCACAAAAUAUUGUUUUAAAAAACUACAAAGGGAGACAUCUUCCUAGAGUGUACAAUUUUAUGGAUUUGUUUUAUUAUAUAUGUACAUAUGCAUAUGAUUGGGACCAAAGGGUUUUGAGUUAUCGGAAUGGUUUCUUUGAUUUAAAAAUACAUUGGAUUUAUAUUUAGUAUGUGGACGUUGUUAGUAGUCCAGUACACAGGAAUUAAAGGGCUGCUUUAAAUAAAGUCUCUCAUGCGUGUCUGUUUGUCCUAUCUCCAAGGAAAUACACUACUAAUAUAUAAUACUGCUAAAGGAAAUGUUCAUCAUGACCAUUACUGGAAAUUAAUUAAAUUUCUAUAUCGUAUGUCAUUAUUUUAUUUCUUUUUCAUUUGAAUCAAAAUUCUUUCCCUUUUGUGGUUUUUAAUUCUAAAUAACAGAGUUCAACAAUGUAUCAAAGACAGUGAAACACCUUCUUACGCACAAAAGAGAUUCCGACGAGAUAGACCAUGUGAAGAUGAUGUUUUUACCUUAACCAAUUUAAUUCACGACCCUAAGUCAACUUUUUCUACUUUCAUUGACCUUGAAAAAUCUUUUGAUUUCGUCAUUAGAGAUUUACUACAAUAUAAACUGCAAUUUAAUGGAAUCAAUGGUACAAUAUAUAUCGCUAUUUGUAGCUUAUAUUCUAAAUCAUUUAAGUCAAGGUGAAAACUUAUCACUCUCGUUGUUUUCUCUCUUUAUCAACGACAGUGCGACACAAUUUCCACAGCUAAAUACGGUAGUAAAUAUUGAAGAUGAAAAGAUGAACAUUUUCCCAUACGCCGACGAUAUUGUUAUUCUCAACAAAAUUGAGACUGAUAUGCAAAAAAUUCUUUUGAUAUUCUUUCAAAUUGGUAUAAAACGGUGGAUUGAUUGAUUGUAUCUUGCUUAACGUGUCGCUAGAGAAUUUUUCACUCGAUCAUAUGGAGACGUCACCAAGACCGGUGAAGGGUUUCAAAUUUAGACCUAUGCUCAACGCUUACGGCCAUUGAGCAGUGAGGAUUCUUUAGCGUGCCACACCUACUUUGACACGGGUCAUCCGUUUUUAAGGUUAUCUCCGAGGAGUGUGGCGGAAAACAUCAAUAAAUCAAUCAAUCUGUCGCGGCCGGGAUUCGAAUCCCCCGACCUUCCGCAUGCAGUGUGAACGCAAGAAACCUCUCGGUCACCGCGGCGUUAUAUAAACGGUGGAGAUUAAAUGUGAACUGUGCUAAAUCAAACAUAAUGGAUUUCAGGAAACACAACAUCCCUCAAAGAAAAUUUUAAUUCAAUAAUUGGAGAAGAGGUACAAUAUGAAAAUCACUCGCUAUUUCGGUGUUAUUCACGAGAAGAUGAACUUUAAUAUACCGGUGGAAACUUGAGGUUCUUUGAACUGGCUACCUGCAUUCCAAGCUAUAUUGAACAUUGUCUGCUAUCAUAAUUGUAUUACCCUACUUAUCGUAGGGCAUCAAAAAUAAGUCUAUAGACUCAUUCAUGAUCCUCUCCACGGAAAUCUUCAGUAAAAGGCGAAAGAUUUAAUCGUGGAUUGAAGAGAAACUGGAUUGUUAUUAUUACGUUUAAAGAGAGCUUACAUGAUCACUUCUUCUUACUUAGCAUAGGUUUUAAGGUAAAUCCUGUAAUCAUUAUCAAGUCUUUCAAUAAGUCAUAAAUCAAUCGUAUUUUUCUUUCAAAUUGAGAUUAAAUGUAAUAUAAUGGAAAUUAUGGUUUAAAUCAUUUAUUAUCAAAUGUUUAUUCUAAUUUAAUCCACAUCACAAAAUAUUGUUUUUAAAAAAUUACAAAUUAAAGGGAAACAACUUCCUAGAGUGUACAGUUUUAUAGAUUAGUUUUACUACAUAUGUACAUGUGCAUAUGAUUGGGACCAAAGCGUUUCGAGUUAUCGGAAUGGUUUCUUUGAUUUAAAAAUACUUUGGAUUUAUAUUUAGUAUGUGGAUGUUGUUAGUAGUCCCGUACAUAGGAUUUAAAGGCCCGCUUUAAAUAAAUUCUCUCAUGCGUGUCUGUUUGUCCUAUCUCCAAGGAAAUACACUAUAUCAUACUGCUAAAGGAAAUGUUUAUCACGACCAUUACUGGAAAUUGAUUAAAUUUCUAUAUCGUAUGUCAUUAUUUUAUUUCUUUUUCAUUUGAAUCAGAAUUGUUUCCCCUUUGUGGUUUUCAAUUCUAAAUAACAAAAGUUCAGCAAUGUCUCAAAGACAGUGAAACAUCUUCUGACGCACAAAAGAGAUUCCGACGAGAUAGACCAUGUGAAGAUGAUGUUUUUACCUUAACCAAUUUAAUUCACGACCGUAAGUCCACUUUUGCUACUUUCACUGACCUUGAAAAAUCUCUUGAUUUUGUCAAUAGAGAUUUAUACUAAUAUAAACUGCUACUAAAUGGAAUCAAUGGUAUAAUAUAUAACGCUAUUUGUAGCUUAUAUUCAAAAUCAUUUUAACGGUCUUCGUACAAAUUGGUUUCAAUGCUCAAAUGGCGUAAGUCAAGGUGAAAACUUACCACUCUCGUUGUUUUCUCUCUUUAUCAACGACCAUGCAACACAAAGAGGGUGUUGCACCGAAGCGGUAAUUUUCCCUAAUCGGUGCUCCGUGCCAGCAUUCGUGACGUAGAGCUGACCUUCAUUCAUAUUUAUACUCAUUGCGUAUUUGCCAUUUAAAUACUUGAAGGAUUCCC